rnacentral:lncRNA from 1 species
UUCAACAGCCUGGAGCAGCUGUGCAUCAACUUCACCAACGAGAAACUGCAACAGUUUUUCAACCACCACAUGUUCGUGCUGGAGCAGGAGGAGUACAAGAAGGAAGGCAUCGAGUGGGAGUUCAUCGACUUCGGGAUGGACCUGGCGGCCUGCAUCGAGCUCAUCGAGAAGCCAAUGGGCAUCUUCUCCAUCCUGGAAGAGGAGUGCAUGUUCCCCAAGGCGACAGACACUUCCUUCAAGAACAAACUAUAUGACCAGCACCUGGGAAAAUCCAACAACUUCCAGAAGCCCAAGCCUGCCAAAGGCAAGGCCGAGGCCCACUUCUCCCUGGUGCACUAUGCAGGCACUGUGGAUUACAACAUCGCUGGCUGGCUGGACAAGAACAAGGACCCCCUGAAUGAGACCGUGGUGGGGCUGUACCAGAAGUCCUCUCUGAAGCUCUUGUCCUUCCUCUUUUCCAACUACGCAGGAGCAGAAGCAGGUGACUCUACAGGAGGCAAGAAAGGCGGC